rnacentral:rRNA from 1 species
ACUCCUACGGGAGGCAGCAGUGGGGGAAUAUUGCACAAUGGGCGCAAGCCUGAUGCAGCCAUGCCGCGUGUGUGAAGAAAGGCCUUCGGGGUUGUAAAAGCACUUUCAGUCGUGAGGAGGUAGUGUAGUUAAUAGCUGCAUUAUUUGACGUUAGCGACAGAAGAAGCACCGGCUAACUCCGUGCCAGCAGCCGCGGUAAUACGGAGGGUGCGAGCGUUAAUCGGAAUUACUGGGCGUAAAGCGCAUGCAGGUGGUUUGUUAAGUCAGAUGUGAAAG